GACGAACGCUGGCGGCGUGCUUAACACAUGCAAGUCGAACGGAAAGGCCCCUUUGGGGGUACUCGAGUGGCGAACGGGUGCGUAACACGUAAGUAACCUGCCCUUGACUUCGGGAUAACUUCAGGAAACUGGGGCUAAUUCCGGAUAGGAAUCCUUGCUGCAUGGUGGGGGUUGGAAAGCUUCGGCGGUUUUGGAUGGACUCGCGGCUUAUCAGCUUGUUGGUGGGGUAGUGGCUUACCAAGGCUUUGACGGGUAGCCGGCCUGGGAGGGCGACCGGCCACAUUGGGACUGAGAUACGGCCCAGACUCCUACGGGAGGCAGCAGUGGGGAAUAUUGCACAAUGGGCGGAAGCCUGAUGCAGCAACGCCGCGUGCGGGAUGACGGCCUUCGGGUUGUAAACCGCUUUCAGCAGGGGCGAAGCUUGUGGUGACGGUACCUGCAGAAGAAGCACCGGCUAACUACGUG
rnacentral:rRNA from 1 species